GACGAACGCUGGCGGCGUGCUUAACACAUGCAAGUCGAACGGAAAGGCCCUGCUUUUGUGGGGUGCUCGAGUGGCGAACGGGUGAGUAACACGUGAGUAACCUGCCCUUGACUUUGGGAUAACUUCAGGAAACUGGGGCUAAUACCGGAUAGGAGCUCCUGCUGCAUGGUGGGGGUUGGAAAGUUUCGGCGGUUGGGGAUGGACUCGCGGCUUAUCAGCUUGUUGGUGGGGUAGUGGCUUACCAAGGCUUUGACGGGUAGCCGGCCUGAGAGGGUGACCGGCCACAGUGGGACUGGGAUACGGCCCAGACUCCGACGGGAGGCAGCAGGGGGGUAGAGUGCACAGUGGGCGGAAGCCUGAUGCAGCAACGCCGCGUGCGGGAUGACGGCCUUCGGGUUGUAAACCGCUUUCGCCUGUGACGAAGCGUGAGUGACGGUAAUGGGUAAAGAAGCACCGGCUAACUACGUG
rnacentral:rRNA from 1 species